UUGAGAGGCGGUACAAAAUGAAUAUAUAAAAUUUGAAGACAGAAAAUCAGAGAAUUUAGUCAUAGAGUACACACAUUAUUUUGAAAAAAAAAUGAGCUUAUGUAUAAAAACUAUUGUAGCAACAUUUUGCAAUGAUUUUGGCAUGUCGUGACUGAAAAAUCCGUCACGCGUACAUCUCUAAAGUGAGCACAGGUCCAUAAUUGGUAACUGACAGCAAGCACACACAAUAUGCUCGAGCACAUACGUAUGAAUGUAUGUACAUUUGUACAUGUUCUAUAUGGAGGGACUGUUGCGAGCAAUGCCGAAUGUUGAAUACCGAAUGCUGACCGCUUUACCCAGGGCUAAUCGUCUGAAGUAAUUCCCCAGCAAAAACUGCCACUCAACAUGCAUAAUUUAGGCUGCAACCGCACUCAGGUGAGUAGCCAUCAGGAAGGACUUCUAGACUGGCAUACUGGCAGAAUGGCUGGCUUUAGAGUCUGACAGAACGGCAGACAGUUGCAGACGAACUGCCUUUGAUUUAUUACAGUAGAGUUAGUGGAAGAAGCAGGCGGAAGGUUACUCAUCAGCAGCUGCAGUCAGCUUUGGCUUCGACCCAUAAUUUAUUAACCAACAACGUGCUGCAGGUGACCAGGGGGGCGGCGGCAGGGAACAUCCCACAAUGCUGGCCCUUCAAGGAAAACUCGUCCAUCAGACUGUGAAGAGCAGAGGGAGGAGGUUGUCAAUGCGGUUAUAACAUAGUGAAUUGAUGAUUCUAGAAUUUGGGGCUGAGAAUUAUAUAUUAAAAGAGUCAAGAGCAUGCAUUAUCCAGA